rnacentral:rRNA from 1 species
UACGGGAGAUGCAAGCGUUAUCCGGAUUUAUUGGGUUUAAAGGGUGCGUAGGCUGUGAGGUAAGUCAGCGGUGAAAUGCCCCCGCUCAACGGGGUGAAGUGCCAUUGAUACUGCCUUGCUGGAAUGCGGAUGCCGUGGGAGGAAUGUGUGGUGUAGCGGUGAAAUGCAUAGAUAUCACACAGAACACCGAUUGCGAAGGCAUCUCACGAAUCCGCGAUUGACGCUGAUGCACGAAAGCGUGGGUAUCAAACAGG